rfam:Gongylonema pulchrum genome assembly, scaffold: GPTH_contig0022349
CGGCGGUGAAAGACAUGGGUAGUGAGACGUUUGGUUUGGAACUCGUGUCACUAUUCUGUUUUUCGCCUCGUA